CACACCUCGUUUAAAGAGUAAACAUCAAAAAUAUAUCUUCGAUUAAUUUACUUGACCUAGGCUACCUAACUGUACUUGGAAUUUAUAAAAUUUUUGCGGUUCCAAACAAUGAAAUGACUUAAUUAUUUUUCUGAGGCACUAGCUUAUUGAUUAUGGAAAGUAAUAUUUGUAGGCCUUCAAAUAAAUGUUAUGGCAUUUAAAAAUAACCAUUGAGUCUUGUACAAACUUUGUAUUUUUCAAAGAUAAAGAUUGACUUUGGAUUGGACACUUAAAUAAAAUUAUGUAGACUGAAAAUCUAGACUUAAUAUAAAUAUUGUUCUUGUUACAAUGGGUUUAAACAAUGUAUGUAUUAAUUUUCAGUAUAUCUAAUCGGUAAUCAACACCUAAACAAUUCCAACUAGUUGCAAGCUGAACGGGACAAUUUUCCGGUGUGUCCUUUAUGGACUGUACCCUGUCAUAGCACUAUCUCCAAGUUUUACCCGAGAGGCCACGCCUCAAGUCGGACUUUCCUCCACACAUCUACUAACUUCAUAUAAAUGAAAGUGUACUAAAGGCUCACUGAUCUACACUACCAGCUCAUGCUCAACGUUACUGAACAACAAAGUAAUCCGACAAUCAGACUGGACCCGGUCAUGUUAGAAUCCAGAGGUAGGAAAUGAAAAUACAAUUGACUCCGCAUCGAUGCAUGACCUCGCCCGGAACGCGGCAAGAAAAAAACAAUGGAAGAAAAUACUACAGACGUGUUUAUUAACAAUAAAGUUAUUUUUGUUUUUAUGAAAUAGCGAUUGAAUAAAAAUAUUA